UACGUAGGGUGCAAGCGUUGUCCGGAAUUAUUGGGCGUAAAGAGCUCGUAGGCGGUUUGUCGCGUCUGCUGUGAAAACUCGGGGCUUAACUCCGGGCCUGCAGUGGGUACGGGCAGACUAGAGUGCGGUAGGGGAGACUGGAAUUCCUGGUGUAGCGGUGAAAUGCGCAGAUAUCAGGAGGAACACCGAUGGCGAAGGCAGCUCGCUGGGACGGUACUGACGCUGAGGCGCGAAAGCGUGGGGAGCAAACAGG
rnacentral:rRNA from 1 species